rnacentral:rRNA from 1 species
GACGAACGCUGGCGGCGUGCUUAACACAUGCAAGUCGAACGGUAAGGCUCCAGCUUGCUGGGGUACACGAGUGGCGAACAGGUGAGUAACACGUGGGUGACCUGCCCUGCACUUCGGGAUAAGCCUGGGAAACUGGGUCUAAUACCGGAUAGGACCGCACCGUGAGGGUGUGGUGGAAAGUUUUUUCGGUGUGGGAUGGGCCCGCGGCCUAUCAGCUUGUUGGUGGGGUAAUGGCCUACCAAGGCGGCGACGAGUAGCCGGCCUGAGAGGGUGGACGGCCACAUUGGGACUGAGACACGGCCCAGACUCCUACGGGAGGCAGCAGUGGGGAAUAUUGCACAAUGGGCGGAAGCCUGAUGCAGCGACGCCGCGUGGGGGAUGACGGCCUUCGGGUUGUAAACUCCUUUCACCAUCGACGAAGGGUUUCUGACGGUAGAUGGAGAAGAAGCACCGGCUAACUACGUGCCAGCAGCCGCGGUAAUACGUAGGGUGCGAGCGUUGUCCGGAAUUACUGGGCGUAAAGAGCUCGUAGGUGGUUCGUCGCGUCGUCUGUGAAAUUCCGGGGCUUAACUCCGGGCGUGCAGGCGAUACGGGCAUAACUUGAGUACUGUAGGGGAGACUGGAAUUCCUGGUGUAGCGGUGAAAUGCGCAGAUAUCAGGAGGAACACCGGUGGCGAAGGCGGGUCUCUGGGCAGUAACUGACGCUGAGGAGCGAAAGCAUGGGGAGCGAACAGGAUUAGAUACCCUGGUAGUCCAUGCCGUAAACGGUGGGCGCUAGGUGUGGGUUUCCUUCCACGGGAUCCGUGCCGUAGCUAACGCAUUAAGCGCCCCGCCUGGGGAGUACGGCCGCAAGGCUAAAACUCAAAGGAAUUGACGGGGGCCCGCACAAGCGGCGGAGCAUGUGGAUUAAUUCGAUGCAACGCGAAGAACCUUACCUGGGCUUGACAUAUACAGGAUCGCGCCAGAGAUGGUGUUUCCCUUGUGGCUUGUAUACAGGUGGUGCAUGGUUGUCGUCAGCUCGUGUCGUGAGAUGUUGGGUUAAGUCCCGCAACGAGCGCAACCCUUGUCUUAUGUUGCCAGCACGUUGUGGUGGGGACUCGUAAGAAACUGCCGGGGUUAACUCGGAGGAAGGUGGGGAUGACGUCAAAUCAUCAUGCCCCUUAUGUCCAGGGCUUCACACAUGCUACAAUGGUCGGUACAGUGGGUUGCCAGUCCGUGAGGGCGAGCUAAUCCCGCAAAGCCGGUCUCAGUUCGGAUCGGGGUCUGCAACUCGACCCCGUGAAGUCGGAGUCGCUAGUAAUCGCAGAUCAGCAACGCUGCGGUGAAUACGUUCCCGGGCCU